AUUAUUAAGGGGAAGAAAAAAAAUCUAAUUCUCUUUCUCUUAGUAACGGAAAGGGAAAAGGUCAAACCCCA
rnacentral:rRNA from 1 species